rnacentral:tRNA from 1 species
UGUAAGAUAAGUUAAUAAAACUAUUGGGCUCAUGACUCAAAUAUAGAGAUGAAAUUUUUCUUUUUACUU